CGGGGGGGGCAAGCGUUGUUCGGAAUUACUGGGCGUAAAGGGCUCGUAGGCGGCCAACUAAGUCCGACGUGAAAUCCCCAGGCUUAACCUGGGAACUGCGUCGGAUACUGGAUGGCUUGAAUUCGGGAGAGGGAUGCAGAAUUCCAGGUGUAGCGGUGAAAUGCGUAGAUAUCUGGAGGAAUACCGGUGGCGAAGGCGGCAUCCUGGACCGACAUUGACGCUGAGGGAGCGAAAGCUAGGGGAGCAAACGGGAUUAGAUACCCCGGUAGUCCUAGCCCUAACGAUGAAUGCUUGGUGUGGCGGGUAUCGAUCCCUGCCGUGCCGAAGCUAACGCAUUAAGCAUUCCGCCUGGGGAGUACGGUCGCAAGGCU
rnacentral:rRNA from 1 species